rnacentral:rRNA from 1 species
CAGCGCCGCCGCGUGAGGGAUGACGCUCUUCGGAGUGUAAACCUCUUUUGCCCGGGACGAAUUGCCAGUUUAGACUGGCUUGACGGUACCGGGUGAAUAAGCACCGGCUAACUCCGUGCCAGCAGCCGCGGUAAUACGGAGGGUGCGAGCGUUGUCCGGAAUCACUGGGCGUAAAGGGCGCGUAGGCGGCUCUAGGAAGGCGGCGGUGAAAGUCCGGGGCUCAACCCCGGAUCGGCCGUGGCGACUCCUGAGCUCGAGCACAGUAGAGGCGGGUGGAAUUCCGGGUGUAGCGGUGGAAUGCGUAGAGAUCCGGAAGAACACCGGUGGCGAAGGCGGUUCUCUGGGCAUUUCCUGACGCUGAGAAGCGAAAGCGUGGGGAGCAAACAGGCUUA